AUGAGUUUAUAUUGAUGAGCCAGCGCUUUAUCAUUCUCUAUCCAUUUAAACAUUGCUUUAGUUUGCAUUACCUAAUUGAGAACUGUCAGAAAUAUAUAAUCAGAUGAAAAUCCGAUUUAUCCAUAGGAAACUAGAGGGUCGUAGAUGAAUCAUUUCUUAUAAAGAGAAACCAGUAGAGCCAAUCUUGGUGAAAAUUCACUUGAAUUUUAAAAAUAUUACUUCAAGAGCAUGGUUAACAAUCUUUCAUGUGAUUUUGUCUUUUAAUACAGUUUUUUAAGUGUGAUUUUCUUUUACACAAUCCAAUUAUGUUCACAUGUGAUUUUGACACCAUUUACAUGAUUUAUUUUUAGAUUGGAUCGUAUCAGAUGUCAUGCAUAUUUUUAUGUUGUAAAUGUGUGAUCACACAUUUUUUUUCCACACAUGAUGACAUAUGCAUCUGUGAAAAAAUAAUUGUCUAUAAACCAAAUGCAUCUGUUUCAUGUGACUUUAAUUCUGUGAAAUGUUUCAGCUUUGAUACCAUCCUCUCCUUGUUGGCCAUCUUUGUGAUUCUCAUACUGUCAGGCUACACCCAUAGUCAUCACACAAGAGGGAUGGGGAGAGAGGCACUGGUAAACAUAAAAAUGUCCAAACACACCAGAUGCGGGCAGAACCUGAGAAAGUCCACACAGACAGUAAGAGUUCAGCAUUAAACCGCAGCCCCUAGAGAGAGCCACACUCAUCUUCAUUCAGGAUGUGCUGAAAAUAGAAUGAGAUGCCAUGGGAUGUCUGCCUCAUCUUCCUGGAGUUCCCUUGAGUAGGUGGACAAAAACAGACAUGCAGCUAUGAUACUUUAACUUGGUUCCCUGAAGCUACAGUUAGAAGAUUUAUGGUACUGGUAGAAAAUCCCAUCCUCCACUGACCUGAAUUUCUUUUGUAGAGCAUGUGGUAAGUGUUGAAAGGAAUAUUAUCACCUCCAGCAAAUUCUAAGUGUAUGGUAAUAGAAGACAUUUAUUGUACAGAAGUAUAUUUGAACUGGACCAGCUACAGAUGUGAGUUUGCACAGUUAAGGGCAAGACAA